CCCUACGGGGUGCAGCAGGCGAAAAAACGCCUAUUUAAGAGGGGUAGGAUCCUAAUAGGUUCAUCGGUUCAGACGAAGGCAAAAGCCCGCGUACACCGCCAAAAGUGAGCGCGGGCAAAGCCGGGGAAAAAGGUAAAACAAUGGCAAAAACAUUAAGAGCACGCUUAGAGGAUUUGGAAAAUAAACGCGGGGAUCUGCCAAUUAUGGUAUUUGAGCAAACUUGGGAUAAUCCGGAUCUAUUCUAUUUGGCAAAAUCGCAUAAUGGCAUAAUGCCAAAGCAAAGCGAAAUAGAUAAAAAGGACCUGCUAACCCGAGCGCAAGCCGAGGCAAUGGCCGGGGAUAAACAUACGCCGCUAUUUAUCGUAUAUGUAAUGAAUUGGCGGGGGGGC
rnacentral:rRNA from 1 species